rnacentral:pre_miRNA from 1 species
AUCUUGGGCCAGAAUCUCAGCUGGUGUAAGUCAGCAGAGCUCCACCGACAUUAUUAGUGCUCCAGUGAUUCACACCAGCUGUGGAUCUGUUCUUCUGUCU